rnacentral:rRNA from 1 species
GACGUAGGGCGCGAGCGUUGUCCGGAUUUAUUGGGCGUAAAGAGCUCGUAGGCGGCUUGUCGCGUCGUCUGUGAAAUCCCACGGCUCAACUGUGGGCUUGCAGUCGAUACGGGCAGGCUGGAGUUCGGUAGGGGAGACUGGAAUUCCUGGUGUAGCGGUGAAAUGCGCAGAUAUCAGGAGGAACACCGGUGGCGAAGGCGGGUCUCUGGGCCGAUACUGACGCUGAGGAGCGAAAGCGUGGGGAGCGAAUGGG